UACCUGGCAGCUCAAGUGGUGGACCGCUAUUAUUGGGCCUAAAACGUUCGUAGCCGGUUUGGUAAAUGCCUGGGUAAAUCGUGUAGCUUAACUAUACGAAUUCCGGGUAGACUGCCAAACUUGAGACCGGGAGAAGCUAGAGGUACUCCCGGGGUAGAGGUGAAAUUCUGUAAUCCUAGGGGGACCACCAGUGGCGAAGGCGUCUAGCUAGAACGGGUUUGACGGCGAGGAACGAAGCCCUGGGGACGCAAACCGGAUUAGGAUACCCGGGGUAGUCCAGGGUGUAAACGCUGCUUGCUUGAUGUUAGUUGGGCUCCGAGCCCAAUUAGUGUCGGAGAGAAGUUGUUAAGCAAGCUGCCUGGGAAGUACGAUCGCAAGAUUGAAACUUAAAGGAAUUGGCGGGGAGCACAGCAACGGGUGGAGCGUGCGGUUU
rnacentral:rRNA from 1 species